rnacentral:ncRNA from 2 species
UUUAAUAAGAUUAAAUUAGGUGCUCUUAGUCAUCGCUAAGGGAGAAUAGGGAAUCAGGUGAGAAUCCUGAGCGGACCCGCCACUGUAAGCAGCGCAGCGACUUAGUGGAUAAAUUUAUGCUGUAAGUCAGGAGACCUGCCUAAUUUAUCAGUUUACU